rnacentral:tRNA from 1 species
GGGAAUGUGGCUUAGUGGUAGAGUAAUUGCCUACCAUGCAUGAAGCCCUGGGUUCGAUUCCUCAGUACCA